rnacentral:lncRNA from 1 species
ACUGAAUGCUGGAGGCAACUGGAACACAAUGGAGAUGAACGGAGAUGACCCAUCAUUUCACCUACCCAGUGGUAACUGCAAUACCUUUCAGGAGGAAAAAGCACACAGCCCCUGAGAGGAAGGUCCUCACCCAUGGACGCAGCUUGCUGAUGGCAGUGAUAAGAUCAAUCAGGAUUUUGGGUUUGGCAAUUUCCCCCUAUACAACGAUAGUUUCCACCUUUCAUGCUGAGAGGUUACUGUAGUUCGGCAGAAAUGCUAUUGCUUUCUGUACAUGGACACUGAAUUUCCAAAAGUAUUACAUAUAAUAAAAGAGUUCCUUAAACAGGGGAGUGAUUAAACCCUGAGGUUUUCGGAACCCUGCCAGGCUUGAGGUGCUCUGAGAGUGAUGGCUCGUGCCACAGUGAGAAGGCUUCACACUGUCCCUGUGCAACUGACUUGAUGACAGCCCGGGCCGCCUUCCGGGGAACACAUCUCUCCCAGGUCCAUGCUCAGCAGAAAGCAGAUCUUUCACAGUGAGAGUUGGAGGUGCUUCUUGACUGGGAAGGAGUGGAAGAGGUCCUAGGUGCAGAAGGGUAUGGAAGAUAAGGUCAAAGGAUGUGCUGGUGGGAAUGGGAGACAACUGAGAAGGUGAGACAAGCUGGAGGAAAUGUCAGGAGCUGCUGAGAGAAGCUCAGCCUGACCAGAGAUGAGAAUUGCCAUCUUGAAUCGUCAGGAAGUGAAGGAAAGCCCAGGUGAAUGCCACCCAAUCAAAAAGAAAAAACAAAUGCAGAUGGUAAGGUAGAGAAGGCUCUGAAGCCCAGGUAAUGAGAGCCAUGUUACCCUGGACAGAAGCAUCCAACACCACACAUCUCCAAGGAUGUUGGAGAUCCAGCAUCUGGAUCCAGCUAACUUCUGCAUCCUCUUCUGUACUCACAAGAGUUAACAUGGACGUCCAUGCAUCUGCUGGACAACACCCCCUAGAACGAGUGUCUUUGUAUGUUUUCACACACAUAAUGAUGUUAUAUCUGCUGCCAUCCUACUGAGUAAGGG